UUCUCUGCCAGGGUGGGUCUAGUUACCUUCCAUAAGGCUCGAGGUUGGAUGCUCCUAAAACUGGCUGACGAAUCACCAUGAAGUGUAGAGUCAGAAGGCGGGCGUAACUAAGUGACGAUAGAGGCGCAACGAUUCUGACAGAAACAACCGGAAACAACUGGCCUAGCCGCGCUAGACAACCCACGGCAACAAAUUUAAUUCUCUGCCAGGGUCGACAACAAAAACGACAACAGUCGUUGAGCUCCAUUAGCACCGACUCUGAAUAAUCUUUCUGUUAACAUGUCUGUAAUAUACUUGAGCUUCACCCAUUGACUGUAUAAAUAAGGCUUCACCGAACUACCGCAUCCUCUGAUUUCCGGUGCUCUAGGAGCCUAUUCGUUGCGCUGAUUGGUUGUAUACCUACCCAGUUGCUGCAGAGUGAUUUGAAAGACAACCUUUUAGCCCGCCUCCCUCCCUGUCGAGAGUUCCUAGACCCUUGCGUCUUCAGACCUGGGUCUAGCGCGGCUCGGCUAAUUUAAACUUGUUUUAGGAUGGUGUUUAAACUGGUUUUAGGUUGGUGUUUAAACUGGUUUUAGGAUGGUGUUGGACUGGUUUUAGGAUGGUGUUUAAACUGGUUUUAGGAUGGUGUUGGACUGGUUUUAGGUUGGUGUUUGGACUGGUUUUAGGUUGGUGUUUAAACUGGUUUUAGGAUGGUGUUUAAACUGGUUUUAGGAUGAUGUUGGACUGGUUUUAGGAUGGUGUUUAAACUGGUUUUAGGUUGGUGUUUAAACUGGUUUUAGGAUGGUGUUGGACUGGUUUUAGGUUGGUGUUUGGACUGGUUUUAGGUUGGUGUUUAAACUGGUUUUAGGAUGGUGUUUAAACUGGUUUUAGGAUGAUGUUGGACUGGUUUUAGGAUGGUGUUUAAACUGGUUUUAGGUUGGUGUUUAAACUGGUUUUAGGAUGGUGUUGGACUGGUUUUAGGUUGGUGUUUAAACUGGUUUUAGGAUGGUGUUGGACUGGUUUUAGGUUGGUGUUUGGACUGGUUUUAGGUUGGUGUUUAAACUGGUUUUAGGAUGGUGUUUAAACUGGUUUUAGGAUGAUGUUGGACUGGUUUUAGGAUGGUGUUUAAACUGGUUUUAGGUUGGUGUUUAAACUGGUUUUAGGUUGGUGUUUAAACUGGUUUUAGGUUGGUGUUUAAACUGGUUUUAGGAUGGUGUUGGACUGGUUUUAGGUUGGUGUUUAAACUGGUUUUAGGAUGGUGUUGGACUGGUUUUAGGUUGGUGUUUGGACUGGUUUUAGGUUGGUGUUUAAACUGGUUUUAGGAUGGUGUUUAAACUGGUUUUAGGAUGAUGUUGGACUGGUUUUAGGAUGGUGUUUAAACUGGUUUUAGGUUGGUGUUUAAACUGGUUUUAGGAUGGUGUUGGACUGGUUUUAGGAUGGUGUUUAAACUGGUUUUAGGAUGGUGUUGGACUGGUUUUAGGAUGGUGUUUAAACUGGUUUUAGGUUGGUGUUUAAACUGGUUUUAGGAUGGUGUUUCACUGGUUUUAGGAUGGUGUUUAAACUGGUUUUAGGAUGGUGUUGGACUGGUUUUAGGUUGGUGUUUGGACUGGUAUUGAUCUGGUUGUGGAUUAUUUUUGCUAUGAUUUUAUCUUUGCACUGGUUAAAGGCUGGUUUUAAUUGUUGGACUGGUUUUAGGUCAGUGUUGGACUGGGUUUAGACCUGGUUUGAGGGUGAGUUUAAGCUGAUUUUGUACACUUUGAAAAUUAUUUUUUUAUUUAACAUCUGAAAUAUUUCUUUUUUUUACUAUCACAAACUCUGUCUUUUAAAUAAAGUUUGAAAAAAACUUCAUCAGAUGGAAUAAUCUUCCAUCAGAUUUUUAUAGAUUCAUAUGAGAAAUGUGAGUUUUCUUUUUAAACUGCUAAACAACA